GACGAACGCUGGCGGCGUGCUUAACACAUGCCAGUCGAACGGAAAGGCCCUGCUUUUGUGGGGUGCUCGAGUGGCGAACGGGUGAGUAACACGUGAGUAACCUGCCCUUUACUUUGGGAUAACUUCAGGAAACUGGGGCUAAUACCGGAUAGGAGCUCCUGCUGCAUGGUGGGGGUUGGAAAGUUUCGGCGGUUGGGGAUGGACUCGCGGCUUAUCAGCUUGUUGGUGGGGUAGUGGCUUACCAAGGCUUUGACGGGUAGCCGGCCUGAGAGGGUGACCGGCGACAUGGGGACUGAGAUACGGCCCAGUAUCCAACGGGAGGCAGCAGUGGAGAAUAUUGCAGAAUGGGCGGAAGUCUGAUGCAGCAACGCCGCGUGCGGGAUGACGGCCUUCGGGUUGUAAACCGCUUUCGCAUGUGACGAAGCGGGAGUGACGGUAAUGGGUCAAGAAGCACCGGCUAACUACGUG
rnacentral:rRNA from 1 species